rnacentral:lncRNA from 1 species
UACUGACCUCUUCAGAUACAUUCUGAGUGUUUUCUGGGUGUGAACUAUGCAUUUUCUACCACUUAGCACUAAUACAGAAUUUACAGCCCACUGGGGUUUGGCGUAUGAAGGAUUGACAAACAAGCUCCAGUGACACUGUUUUAUAUUGCCUAUCUACUUAGAAACCAUACCUGCCAAAGAACACAACUGCAUUCACUGAGUGUCACGAACUUAACUCAUAUCACAGGAAGAGAGACUAAAGUCUGUCAACACAUCUGGACAGGGUUUUCUCACAAUUAUUUUCUCUGCUGGCCCAAUAGACUUUGUACCAGGCUGUUGUGUGUUCUCCAAACCCUUUGAAUCCCCCUAAAAAUAAUUUACUAGCCCUCAAAUUGUCACAUUUUAUGCAUCUCUCUUUCCCCAAUGAAUAAUGGUAUAUAACAUCUGUACACCAUUUGGUUAUUGGGAAAUCAUUCUCCUCUAAUUCCUCGAUGCUAUGCUAAAAUACAAUUUCGUAUGUCUUUUCUGCCACU